rnacentral:lncRNA from 1 species
UAAUGGUAUCAUGCUCCAUAACUCUUAUUUCUUCAGAAGUAGAUGUCGGCUCACCUUCUCAUCAGCCCUAGCCUCGAUAUGAGUUUAAUUUUUGUUCUACACACCCUUCUCCAAAAGGUGUUCCUAACUCAAAACCUUACCCUAUUAAUUUCAACCCGAAAUCCAUAGAUUCUAAAACUGUUUAAUCUCUCUAUCGCCCUUUCUGCAUCAUUCACACAUUCAGUGCAGUCUUCGCGGCAAGUUGUUAACAAAGAUUGUCGGACACAUGAGAUUCCCCAACACUGGCGAAUGCUUAUUCAAAAAUUUUCGUUUCAGUGUAUUAUGCUAUUUUAAAUAUUCUUAUACUUUACUUUUUUUUUACAUUUUACCAUCCAUAUUUAAAGUUUGUAUUUCUCUCAACAACAUCAUCUUCAAAUUUAUCUGUUUAUACUCAAAUCUUUUAUUUAUAAUUUCUAAAUUUUAUAAUACCAUGUUUCAUUAAAAAAACUAAAAUUAAAACAAAAACCAAGGCUUGGAAGCUUAUGAUUGAAUAUUACAUUAUUUCACUGUGUAUUAAUGAAAAUUUUUGACACUUAUUUCUUUUCUCAUUCAAAAUUUUUAUUAUCAUUAGAAGUCGCGUAUAGAGGUCGUGUUCCCUUUAUUAAAAAAUUGUGCAUGUUAAAUUUUUUAUGUUAGAUCAGAGUCUUUUAAAAUUUUAUCAUUUCUAUUAUUAAAAACUUAUCUCUAUAUGUCAACAUGAGGUACACCGGGUACACCAUGUGCCACCGUUUAAUUAUUUGUUAGCUAUGCUAGUUUUAAUCUAAAUUUGUGAAAAGUACGGUGCCAACAGUGCAGUCUUUUGACAUUUUCCGUUUGCUAUUUUCUCAAGUUUUCUUUACACACGUUACUGAUUUCUGAAACUAACACCACGUCAAGAAUUCCCAAACUUAAAACCAAGAUUUAAACAACCAAUUUUAGUAACAAAACACUAAUUUCAGGUAACUAAUUCAGCAUUCGACCACUUACCGAACAGAAACGAUAGUCCUCAAAAACCUCUAAUUUGCCAAAAAUAAGUCAUGCGAUUCACAAACCUCACCUGACAGAUUCCCACACCAAAGAGAGUCAUCAAAACGCAAGUACCACUGACUAAAAAUUUCUCAAAUCAAAUACCCAAAAACCACCUUCCUGAAAUAAACAACCACCACACUUACCCAAAGAAGUAACAGAGAUUCGACAACGUACGAAUGGAAUAACACAAGAGGCAACCGUAUGGCAAAAUGAGAAAGAAAAAAGCAUAAAGAAUGAAAAAUUCAGAAAUGGAGCAUGAAAAAGAUGAGAGAAAAAAAUAAAUAAAAUGAAUAGUGUAGCAAGAAGUGUACGACAGAAUGUGGAGGACUUUGGGGAAAAAAAGUUUAGAAUUUCAAAAAUAAAAAUUCUUAAAAACUAACUACUUCCCCACUAAUCCCAAUAUCAUAUACCUUAUCCUUAUUAGAUUUUUCCCAGAAUUUAAAAUAAAAAAAAUUUUCAAUUUGCACACAUGAGGAUUCAAAUACAAAACCUAAAGCUAAGCUGAAGCCUUAUCACUAAACUAACAUACUCACUCUUGUCCUUAGCUGAACAAAAAUAACAUAUAACUCUAAUAUCAAAGGCAAGAGGUUGGACAAAAAUUAACAAAAAUGCAAGAGAAAGAUUUUAAAGUUUAAACCCAAAACCUCCCACACAAAAGCAUAACACUUAGCCAUUAAAUCAAAUAAACUCAUUUUGCAUAAUUUUUACAAUUUUAAUUUAAAAUCAGGACAUAACCACUCUUAAUUUCACUAACUCAAUUUCUUCCAACCAGAUUUCCAAAAUGUGACACACUUAAACUCAUAAUAUACUUUAAACACCUAAUGAUGUUGGAUCAUAGAGAUGUCGACUUAAAUCAACAUGUGGUACAUAUUAAGCUGAGGGAUUAGAGUAAAAUUUUAAUUUUCUAAAGGGUGAAAGUAAAAAUUUUAUCUAAAAAUUUGAAAAUUAUGCUAUUUCUCACAACACCCGGCAUUAAAAAUGAUCUAUGUAUUUUAUUACAUACAUAUAAGCAAAACAUAUCUAUUUGAAUAUUAAGACUUUGAUUCUCUUCUUAAGUAGUUAAUUACUAAAAAUAAAUAAAAAAGACAUUCACUUCCUAAUUGUUUGUUGGGUAUGUUUAAUGUAUUAGUUUAAUUAAGCAGGUGAUGGUCACGUUUUCAAUUAAGUUUUAAUUUAAUUGAUAUUGUUGUUAUUGUAAUAAUAAGAAAAACAUAGAUUUGAGUGUACUUAAAUGUGUUCUUUCCUUCAAUUUAAGAGUGAGGAAAGUUAUGAUUAGAAUCAAGCCAAUGUCGACAAUGUUUACAUAAGAGUAAAAUUUUUCGAGCACCAAUUCAAGUACGACUUAUUUGGUAAACUAAUUUUAAUAUUAAAUUUGAACUAAAUAAUAUUCUAAAAAAUAAAAAUACAAUAAGAAUGAAGUAAGAAAUUAUUGGAAUGUUAAUGAUGUGAGGAUGAGUCCUCUUUCAAGGUGUUGGAAUAUGUUGCUUUCAAUUAGUAGAGCUGUUAGUCUAUGUUCUUGGUUAUUUUAAUAUUGGACGAUUCUUUCGAAGUUUCGAAAGUGGGUUUGGUAAAGCAAUCAAGUUUAUUUUAUUUUAUUUGGAAGGAUGGGAACGGAGAUAAUGGGGUGUUGACGUCUUAGAAGAAAAUCUGUUUUAAGCGAAUAAAGGUGAGAUCCUUUAAUUGAGGAGCCAAGAAUUGCUCGACUGGGGAUUAAGAAUAAAAGGAGGGUUUGGAAGUGUAGGAACUUGGCAAAAAAGAAGAAGAAGAAGAAACUGGGUUUACGUGUGAUUGAUAAUGAAGAAGAGGCAAAUUACAGGGAGAAGACUUAAUAUAGAUUGUUAAGGUACUCUUCUUCUUCUUUUUCUAUUUUGAUUGUUAUUGUUUUUAACUUUUAAUUGCAAUUGCUUCUCAAUGGAAAAUCUUUUUGAAUUAUGAUAAGAGAAUAACAUGGUUAACGCAACUCGAACUCAUAUCAUAUCUGGAUGAGAGAAUAUUCUCAUUAUUAGGUUAGCAUACAGAUCCAUAGGACAAUGCUAUUAACGCAACUCAAACUCAUAUCACAGCUGGGUGGGAACCUCAUUAUUAGGCCAACAUAGAGAUUGAGUGGAUUUUCUUUUUAAAGUUAUUGAGGUGAGUUGUUUGUUAUAUUAAUGUUUUGAUUUUCUAGUUGUUGCAAGAGGGUUGUGCUUUGUAAUGGUUUCCUUACAAGGGUUCUAAGGGUUGUUUGGCUUUUGUUAUUGUAUUGUUGAUUUUAUUUGUCUGUUUUUGGUUGGUGUCAUCGUUGUUUUCUAGUGCUUCUAAGUGAAUGAAUUUAUGAUGAUUGCCUUCGUUCAUAAAAUACUUUCUAAAAAAAAAAGGAAAAUAAAAGAAAAGGGUUAUCAUGGUAAGAUAGUCUUCGUAUUUAAGAUGCAUACAUCCAAAACGUAUAGGGUGCAUCUAAAGUAAUCAAAGUCAUCACUAUAUUUAAAAUUUCAUGUAAUGAUCUGAUGAUUCACGGUGUUCAUUGUUCUAGGUGUGACUUGAAUUUAAGUUGCGCUAGUCGCGUUGGUUAUUCAGAUUUUACCUUAUUACUAUAAUUCAACAAAAAAAACACACACUUUAUUUAUUUCCUAAUAUCUCAAUAAAUUAAUUACACAGUCACAAAAUUUGCAAUACAAUAUAUCACACACAGUAAUAUUUAUUCUCUUUUUUCAUAGUUUAUUUGCUUAGUCAUGACCUCAUGCAAAUUCGAAUAACAUGACUUUUUUUCACAAAAUGAAUAUUAUGUUUGAAUCCCCAGCAAACCAUAUAUAUUUUAAAAUUAUAUAGAGUUAAAUCAAUAUUUAGUAACUGCAAUAUAAAUUUCUUUUAUCUAAAUUAGACGCUAAAUUUAAUAAUUGUUCUCAAAUUUUUAUUUUAUUGAAAUUAAACUUUGGAUUUAAUUUAAGACUUAUUCUUUAAAAUUUUGAAUGACUAACUUUUUCUUUUCACACAUAUUUUAUAGUAAUAAAAAAAUGAUGAUGAUGACACCACUAAUGUCCACCAUCGACAAAGAAAAGAAAAAUAGCAAAUCAAUGGCUUACUUCUUUCCACCUUGAUUAGAAAAUAUAUGGAAGCUUCACCUUUUGCUUUUCUUUUACGUGGAUCACAAUGGCAUGCCCAUUAAAUCUGGACUCCAUCAACUUUGUCAUCAACUAUUUCCAUUUGAUGACUUUCUUCCCCUCUUAUUCUUCGCUUUUUUUGUAAUUCUUUUGCUUCCCUUUAUCAUCAAGAGCUCGAAACAUUACCAUUGGAUCGAUUUCUGCUACUCGCACCUCUAAACAUGUAUCACCAACUUGCAAAUUGAUAAUUUCAUCAAUUCUUUGCAACUGUUCCAUAAUAAUUUUAAUACUUCCUGUAAAUAAUUAGAUCCAUCGUUGUCUACUCUAAGGAACUUCCCCCAGUGGCACGCAAUGCUUUGGAAGGUCCCUUUACUCCCAAUUUGAGUCUUCGAAAGAUUGAAACAAGUCAUUGUCCUUGAACAAAAGCAAGAUCGAGCGUCCAGAAAGCUUAAAAAUAUUCACCCCAUCAAUUCCUUCUGACAGAAGUUUUCCUUUAGAGAAUACGAGGACGACCCAUCUUCAAUCCAAGCAAUAGCACAGUGUUCCAGCCAACUAAGUUUAUUCGCAUCGACCACACCUUGCACAACAACCCGUUUUGUUUCAACUUCCUUAAUGGUAUCAUGCUCCAUAACUCUUAUUAUUUCUUCAGAAGCAGAUGUCGGCUCACCUUCUCACCAGCCCUAGCCUCGAUAUGAGUUUAAUUUUUGUUCUACACACCCUUCUCCAAAAGGUGUUCCUAACUCGAAACCUUGCCCUAUUAAUUUCAACCCGAAAUCCAUAGAUUCUAAAACUGUUUAAUCUCUCUAUCGCCCUUUCUGCAUCAGUCACGCAUUCAGUGCAGUCUUCGCGGCAAGUUGUUAACAAAGAUCGUUGGACACUUGAGAUUCCCCUUCACCGGCG